ACUUUUUAUCACCCUGGGUACACUUUUCUGUAUCUUCUCUAGCUCUCCAGAGUCCAUUUUCAGAGGUAGGGAGUAGAGCUCUGUUCAAUAUUCAACAAGUUUUAUUCUGUAUUCCAACUGUGCCUACCAUUCUGCUGCUUUCAUGAUCUCUUUAUGAUAGUCAGGUUCUCUGAUAACACUGAAAACAGCAUACAAGACAUCACGUUGUCCUGACAAAGAACCAGAUCUUCACAGAUGAAAUCAGGAGAGCUGGAGCACAACAGAGGAACUCUGUACAUAAUUCUGAGCUAUGAAAUGACCAGAGAUGCCAAAGGAUCUGGGCUAGGAACCUCACUUACAUCGAUGCUGCCCCAUUAGCAAGAGGCAAAUCUCUUGAAGUAUUGUCUGGUUAUGACUCUCCUGGAUUCAUUCCGUUCCUUCCUGUUCUUUGGAUUCCAACUUUGUCUUGAGUGAAGUCUUCUGCAAAGAAGGUGUACCUGGAUUACAAGCAGGACUAGUUUGUUAACCAUGUUUAGGAUCCUGCUACCAUUUGAGAAAUAAAAAAAUAAAUACCACCAGAGGGCUCACAAGCUAUUUCAUUUUUGAUGUCAACCGCUGUCUAAACCAAUGAGUGCUGAGGCUUACCUUUCCUGAGAUUCAAUCUCCCAUGUUUUCAACGUUUCUGUGCAGACAUCAAGGUGUCCAGAUACCAAGAUUCCAUCCUGAAGAGAUGAGCCCAGAAGAGGACAGAAGUAAAGGCUGCUAGAGUACAGUGUGUCUGGGUUUGAAUGCAAUGAGUUGACGGCUGCAGCCUAAGGCACUGGUGUGAUUUUGUUUAAACAAACAUAAGCCAAUUAAAAAUACAAAGAGAUUCAACAAAAAGAUGCUCUUAGCUGAAAGCCUCAUGGGAGAAUAAUUUAAAGAACAGAUCAAUAGAAGUGAGAGAGAUUUGUUCCCAUAAGACCAAAAGCCAGCAUGUAACAAAUCUCAAGAAAGGCAUUUAUAGGAUUGUAUUUUGUGAGUGACUGUGGCAUAAAAGAAUAGUGCUUUAGCAUAAUUAUAGUUAAAUAUUUACACAGUCUUAGCUGUUUCCGGGAAAGCAAAUAACCUUGCAAGGAUGGUUUUCUUCUAUUCAAUAUAUCACUGAAAGUGCUUGCUGUGCAUAUCUUUAUUACAAACAUAGUAAUUAUAUAAAUGUGCCUUCAAGGAAAAGGGUAGUUGAGAAUGUUAUCUUAAAAAAAAAAUAAUCACAAAACAAGAACAAUAUAUACUAUUACCUACAGGUUAAAAUAUUCUUCCCCUCAUUUUCCAAGUCAUGGCUUUUGACUUGUAACCUCUUUCUCACUCAAUUACACAUACAAAAAUUCCUAAAAGGUGCUGCAAGAAAACACCAUUUUUAUGAAUGGCCUGAAAUUAUUUACCUGUAUGGUAUUUUUUUAUAUCUCCAACUGUAAUGUGCAAUAUUUUGGGACCUUUCAGGUAUAGAAACAAUAGCGGAUAUUCCAGCUGUCUUGCUCUUUAGACAUCUAGUUCCGAUGUCUCUGUUAAGAGAGUACAUCCUCUAGUUUUGAAAUAUUGUGGGUAGAGAAGGGGAAAUCAUAGGGACCAAAAAUAUUUGUGCACUUAUGUGUCUUGCAGAGGAUGAUUCAGAAUAGCAGUUAAGUUUAGAAAUUAUUUACCCCCCGGAGAAAUUUCUCUCCUGCUUUAUUAAAUGUAUAGGGACAAUAGAGGGAUGGGUAUCUCAUACUGGAUCCUUAUAGUUGAUAAUAUAAAUUUUGCUAUAAACAGACCUUUCAGAAAACAGCAGCUGCAUUUUUUUUUCCCAAGGAUCCAUGGUUUUCUCUCAGGCAUGGGAGAUCUUGAGAGAUUUCUUCUGAGCUAUAACAUUUGUCCAUUUUGCUCAGCAGAAGAUAAUAACUUUGAAGAAAAUACUACAAUUCUUUGUUGAGAUUGGAAUGAGGAGACUGUUUCUGUAGUAAGAUGACUUCAAAAAUGAGGCAUACACCAGAUCCUUGGUGUACGUCUGUUUGGUUCCACUGCUUAGCUAUUUAUUCAUUAAAUCAAUGGUAAACAUUGCUUACAUCUGCUGAGAAAUGACCCAUUGUUUUACACUGCUCAGAGGGUAAAGUGGGACAAAGGUUAGUAAUGCAGUGCAGCUGUUAUAGAAAAAGGCAAAUAACUUCAUUACGUUUUUGUGUUUACCAUAACCAUAUGGGUUCCAGAAAGCAUAUUUCUACUGUGUACAUGGUUUAAACUCUCAUAGGUAACUUAAACAUCCUAAUGACAUAGUUUGAGUCCCAACUCAUUUAUCCCAGUCCUGGAGACACCAAAUUAACUUGGUAGUGACAAGUUAACUGAUUUCCAGUUUUAGUAGCUGCUAAGACCAUAUUCUAGCAGGGACUGUGUGCUCUUGAGUGUGUCUUGCUCUAUCAGCAGGCUUGAACUUGAGGAUGCCGCUUGAUGUUAGAUGAAUAAUAUUACAGUGCUGCUGCCAGGUGCUUGUAAACCCACAGGGUAUUUGGUGACUAGCAAGUUUUCAUGUUAUGGAUAUGCUACCUAUACAUAUUAUGUAACUCAAUUUUGGACAUAUAUAUACACAUAACACAUGCAUAAAUGUGUUUCUUAAAUGUAACAUGUAUUGCAAAACAUUGAGAAAUCCUUUUUUCAUUCCCUCUGAAGCAUUCACUGGAAGGUCUAAACAUAAGUUUCUAAUGAAAGCUAAGAAUGUGGCUUUACCUCAGGUGUUUUCUGCUUGUCUUUCAGGUUAUUGAUGUUUGUGGUCAGGAUUUCUCUAAUGACUCAUGACACAGGUGCAAAUGUCAUUAAGAAAAGUUUCUAUUUGAGAAUGAAAGCAUGGAAAGUUUUCAAUCUCCAUAUAUAAACACCUACAAAACAAAAGAGAGCGGGAAAGGAGAGAAAAGAAGGAAAUCCACAUAAAAUAUGCAAUUCCAUUUGCUGAAAAUAAGUAGCAGGACCAGGAAGAAUAAGAACAAUAAAAUAAAAAUAUUUAUUAGCUUUGUAAAAUGUGCAUGAUGUUACAAAAACAAGAUAGCAAAGUUUAGCAGAAUGAUGGAAAUUUAACUAAGACAUAAGAUGUUAUAGGAGAGGAUUUUUUCAUACAGUAUAGUUACAGGAAGCAUGUCUGUUUCCAAGAGCUUUCUGCUGGACUUGAAGGAAGCCAACUGAGGUCUUCAGUGGCUUUUCACCAGACCUCAAAUAAGGCCGCAUGUUUAUGCCACUGGGCUGCAUUUGACUUACCACUUACAAAAUGACGGAGCAAAUAUCCUUUAGAAAAAGACAUGCUUUCCAUUUUCACAAUGUAGAAGUCAAACGUACUUUAAUAGUACUUAUCAGAAGGCGACCCCCAAAAUAUAAAAAUCUGGAUAAAAAUAUAGGAUUUGCAGUACACUAUUUUUAUCCAUAUAAUCAAUAUAAAUAUUUUUAUCCAUAGAAUUAUAAAAAAAUCAAACAACAGUGAAACUAAUAAAUUUGCUCAGUUCCAGAGUAUUAGCCUUUUGAAAUUUGUCUGGUACUAUAAUAUUAAUUUGUAUAUUUCUGUACAUACUAACAAGUAUAGAGAAAGCUUUUUGUUAAAGGAAGGUGAUCUGAAUUUAAGUACUAAUAUUAUCCACUAGGCAGUAUUAUUUAAUCACUUACUAUAGAAAAAUGUUUUUGACAGAGGUGUAUUUUAUAGAAGACUUCUAUAGAUUAACCAUAUAAAUAUAUACUAUGAUAGGGAAUUUAUUUCCAUAUUUGCAUUUUUUUGUUUACUUGAAAAUAGAGAUUAUUAUUUUAAUCAGUGUGUUAAAAAAAAAACACAACAGUGUUUAACUGAGACAUAAACGCCUGGAAGUUCUUUUUCUUAGAUUUCCCAUUGUCUUUAGUUUGUGCUUCAGUCAAUAAUUGUUAAUAAAGGGAUAAAUUAAUAGUCUGAGUAAUUGUGUAAAUGUGAUUUUCAGAGAAUGAGUGGGCUUUUUUUGUUGUUUAGAGACAAGAUUAGGCAUCAGAACUCUUCAGUUUCUUUCAUGGGCCACUGAAGUUUACUUCAUGGAAACAGCAAAUUUUGUGGGCAAUGUCUUGAUCUUUCUGAGUCUCAAUUUUUCAAGCUUAGAAAUAGUGACAAUGAUUGUUAAUAUUAUUACAUGUGAUAUUAAUCAAUAUUUCUAGAGUGUUUAAAAUACACUCAGGGUGGGGGGUGACUUGGGAUGAAUGGCAAAAAUUACCUAGACUUUAAAUGAUCAAAAAUGCCUGAGUGUGGGAAAAAGAAUUCAAAUGAUGACAUAAGAAAAUAAAUAAAUUUGACCUUUGGAUAUAUUUCAUACACAACACACAAGAGGUAAAGGUGCAUUUAUUUUUCAUGUGUAGUUCACUUUUCAGUUACAUUCAGGGCUUACUGGAAAUGACUGUGGGGAAUGUGUGUGGGUGAGUACCUCUUCGAAGUAUUUCCUCCUGAAGCGCCAACCCAAAUCAAGACAACGUGUCGUCCCCCCUGCUGCACCUCUCCUGUUGUGAGGGUUGAAGAGUCCAUGCCCUCCACAGUUCUCUCCCCAGUGAGAUUUCUAUUUCUUGAUUUGGAUAUUAAUACACUGUGAAUGUGGUUCCAUACGUUUUCCCACAUUUCUCUUUCACUGCAGGUUAAAGGCGUGUCCAGGUUUGGCCUUUCGGAGCAAGUUAUGACUCCACUAUCUAUUCAUGUGGACUCUUAAAUUAAAAAUUGAUUGCGCUACUUCUGUUCUUUGUUUUCUUCCAAGGAAUGACAACCUAAGAGGAGGUAACCUGAAGAGCAGACACCCGGAAAGUAAAACAACAAAGUAUGCUGUGUGUAUGAUAGGCUUUACUGUCUCCACAUUAUAGAGAUGUAACUACUAAAAUGAAGUCUGACAUUGUUUUUCUCACGGCUGAGUGAGUGGCAGACCCUGGGGAGAAUGUAUUAGAGUUUUCAUCUUGUAACUUAACUUCUCCUUUUGUUGUUCUGCAUAAUUGCUGUCACCCAGGUAAAGCUGGAUUGUUUCUUCCAUGGCAAAUUCUCUCCCACACAACCCUUUGACCUUCAGGCAGCAAGAGCAGCAGGGUUUCUCAUCUUGUGAUUUAAAGGAAGAAAAUAAGUACUUGAAGAGGAAGUGCUUUGAAAUAAACAAUGUCUCUGAAUCAGAAAACUAAAUAACUGGGGGUUUACCACAAACUGGGACUCCGGGGAAUAUUUGCCUGGAAUUAACAAAAGAUACUGAAAGAACUAAGGUGAUUAAUCAUGUGAAGAAUUUAGGCAGAAAUAUGAGUACAGCUGGGACAAUUGCUUAAUUAUGAGUAGAUUUCUGAUAAAUGUAAAAGCAGCUCAUGUCAACAGACAUUAGAAUGACUUAUGAGCUCAUAUAUGAGCUCAUACUAGUUGUCCAAUUCCUUGACAUUAAAAAGUCCAGGAUAUUUUUAAAAUGCUGAGAGCAGUGAGGUAAUUGCCUUUAACAAUGCAAGUAUGGAAAAAAUGUGUCCAAUUGAUCAUGAGCUAUCUUAUAAAAGAGUGUUUUUCUGAUUGUUGUUCUGAAAGCUUUUACAUCAGCCAAGAGGUUGAGCACAUUUUCUUGGCAAAAAAUCCUGUAAAUCAUCCUCUCCAAUCUUUUUUUCAGCUUCUGAGAGGAAAAAACAAUCUGAUUUUCACUGAGGAAGUAUAUUUGCCUUAAAAUCUUCACAGAAAAGACCAAUGCAUAUUAAGUCAUUGUGGUGCCAAUCUGUUAAUUUGAUCUGAUUUUUUGCUGUAUUAAUUUGGUGAUUUAAUCAUUCAAUCCAUUGGUAUAUUGAUUCAAUUUUAGUGGAGACCUGAAUUUAAUUAUUGCAUUAUUCUAGUUUUAAUUAGCAAAGUAAAAUUGUAGUUUAUUAGUUCAGUAAUUGUCGCAUAUUGCUCGUCUUUGCUGAAGUGUCUGUCUGACAUUCAAUUCUUUCUUAGAAAUCUGUAAAGUUUCAAAGAACUUAUUUUUUCAAAAUACUGUGUUAGUAAAAAAAUAAUGAAAGGACUCAUAAUCAGGAAAACUUGCAAGCCUUUUUGACUUGCAUGAUCACAUUUAAAUCACUUGCUCUAUAGAACGUUUUUUGUCUUUUUUUCAGGACACAGGGAAAAUGUGUUUCAAGCAGAUACAUAUGUAACUACAGAGAGAAAUAAAAUAUAGCUUAUUCUUUAGAAAGUUAAAAAAUUACUGAAAUAUUUUAGUGACAUGCAUAAACCAAAUAUUUUGCCAGAGUACCAGCUUUUACAGCCAUAGAUGUCUCAGUUUUCCAAUUUUUUUCACUACUGUUGUAGGUUAGCGGUGUGCCUUCAAGUCAUAUGACCUUAAGGACAAUAAAGGCGCUGACUUCUGCUAAACUACCUGGGUAAAGACCUCUGGUUAUAUUGGAUAUUGCCUUGAAACACAGCCUUUGGGAAAUGAGCUAGCCCAGUGCAAAGUGCAGUCAAACUGAUCAUUGUAUAAAAUAUCUCAAGUGAAAUACCUAGUUCUGUGAUUCAUAGGAGCUUAUAAUCACUUUCCUCUAUGCUGUUAUUACAGUUUUCUUGUUGUCUGAUUUGCAUUUUGAUGAAUCACCACUGCUGUGUAUUAAGUGAUGUACAAACACAUGUUAUUAAAGUACAUCUUUCAGGACCAAUGGUCCACCAGAGCUAUAUAAGACAAUGCAAUGUGUAUUAGCUGAAUAAAGACAGAUGGCAUCAACUUA